CCCGCUGAACUUAAGCAUAUCAAUAAGCGGAGGAAAAGAAACUAACAAGGAUUCCCCUAGUAACUGCGAGUGAAGCGGGAAGAGCUCAAAUUUGAAAUCUGGCGCGCCUUUGGCCGUCCGAGUUGUAGUCUGGAGAAGCGUUUUCCCUGUUGGAACCUGGAUCAAUCUCUUGGAACAGGGCGUCAAUUGAUGGUGAGAAUACCGUCUUAGACGCUGACUAUCCAUUCUUUGUCAUGCGCUCUCAAAGAGUCGAGUUGUUUCUGAAUGCGCCUCUCAAUGGGUGGUAAAUUCCAUCUAAAGCUAUAUACAUGGGAGAGACCGCUAGCGAACAAGUGCCAUGAGGGAAAGAUGCAAAUCCCUUGAGAAAGAGAGUUAAACCGUUCGUGAAAUAGAUGAGAGGGAAACGCUUGAGGUCACUCACGUCUGCCACGACUCUCCCUUGCUUCUGCUUGCCGUACUUUCUGGCUUGAGACGGCACCAUCUCUUUCUAGAGCUGCAGAUAGGCUUUGGGAAUGUGUGACCUCCUGCUGUAUGAGAUACCUAUGUCGAAUACGACACUGGGAAUUGAAGGGUGCAACUCGCCUCUCUGCCCGGAGUACGCUCACAUACUGGCUUAGGACGACGCCAUAAUGACCUUAAGCGACCCAUCUCGCAACACC
rnacentral:rRNA from 1 species